GGCCUAAUGGCCCAAUGGCAAGGCGCUUGACUACGAUUCACAUCUGCAAUCAAGAGAUUCCAGGUUCGACCCCUGGUUAGGUCA
rfam:Stagonospora sp. SRC1lsM3a unplaced genomic scaffold IQ06scaffold_2, whole genome shotgun sequence.